UACAGGGGGGCAAGCGUUGUUCGGAAUUACUGGGCGUAAAGGGUUCGUAGGUGGCCACUUAAGUCAGACGUGAAAUCCCUCAGCUUAACUGGGGAACUGCGUCUGAUACUGAGUGGCUUGAGUGCAGGAGAGGGAUGCGGAAUUCCAGGUGUAGCGGUGAAAUGCGUAGAUAUCUGGAGGAACACCGGUGGCGAAGGCGGCAUCCUGGACCGGCAUUGACGCUGAGGCGCGAAAGCCAGGGAGCAAGCGGG
rnacentral:rRNA from 1 species